AGUGAACGCUGGCGGUAGGCCUAACACAUGCAAGUCGAACGGCAGCACAGUAAGAGCUUGCUCUUACGGGUGGCGAGUGGCGGACGGGUGAGGAAUACAUCGGAAUCUACUUUUUCGUGGGGGAUAACGUAGGGAAACUUACGCUAAUACCGCAUACGACCUACGGGUGAAAGCAGGGGAUCUUCGGACCUUGCGCGAUUGAAUGACCCGAUGUCGGAUUAGCUAGUUGGCGGGGUAAAGGCCCACCAAGGCGACGAUCCGUAGCUGGUCUGAGAGGAUGAUCAGCCACACUGGAACUGAGACACGGUCCAGACUCCUACGGGAGGCAGCAGUGGGGAAUAUUGGACAAAGGGCGCAAGCCUGAUCCAGCCAUACCGCGUGGGUGAAGAAGGUCUUCGGGUUGUAAAGCACUUUUGUUUGGAAAGAAAAGCAGCAGGUUAAUACCCCGCUGUUCUGACGGUACCCAAAGAAUAAGCACCGGCUAACUUCGUG
rnacentral:rRNA from 1 species